rnacentral:lncRNA from 1 species
ACUUCACAGUAAAAUCCGUUUUCUUUGCACUUUUUUAUUAACAGCUUCAACUAUGAUCAGUGCAUAAAUCUACCUGCAACACAGGAUGUUGGAAAAUUACCGAGAGACAGCAACGUCCUCCCUGCUGCUUGGUGAGAAAAGAAGGAUGCACCUUCAGUUUAAACACUGGGCUUGGUGAGCACCUCGUGGGAUCCCGAAUGCCGUGUCCAGCGUGCCUCCCAGCCCCUGAGGACAGCAGCUAGGAGACACCCAGGGCUGUGCCUGGAGCCAGCAGCAGCACACAGGCUCAGAGGUGAGCUGGGAGACCGAGCGGGGACAGCCGAACACACGGAGGCACACGGAGAUGGGGACCAGCGCCACGAUGUGCAGCAAAAAGAAAACGAGGAGAAGUACUAUAAAAAAUGAGAGGAAGGCUUAUCUCUAAGCCUGAACAACUCCU